CUUUGAAAAGAGAUCCUUCCUGUAGAUUGGGUUACCUGACUGGUUAUCAGAGCUUUUCUUGUUUCCACUUAAGUAGACAUUGGCUUCUGCAUUAACUGUACUGAAUACUGUCCUGUCAUGUUGGCUAGUCUUCCUUUGGCAUUAGUGCAUCCAUUAUUUCGGCUUUUAGGGAUGUCAGGUCCAUUUCAUGAUCAAGGUAAAUUGAAGUUAAUAUAUUAAGUAUAUUAAUGUGAAGUAUUUUUGUCUUUUUUAUUCCAGUUAUUUAUAGCACAAAAUUAUAUAGAUUUUUCAAGUACAUUGAAAACAGAGAUGUGGCCAAAUCAGUUUUGAAGGAGAGGGGUCUUAAGAAGAUUAGAUUGGGAAUAGAAGGCUACCCUACCUACAAAGAAAAAGUAAAGAAAAGGCCAGGGGGCCGUCCAGAAGUCAUUUACAACUAUGUCCAAAGACCCUUCAUUCGAAUGUCCUGGGAGAAGGAGGAAGGAAAGAGCCGGCACGUAGACUUCC
rnacentral:lncRNA from 1 species